CUCUACAGCCACAUCACCCUGAAUGUGCCUGAUUCUCAUCUAAUCUUAGAAGCUAAACAGGGUCAGGCUUGGUUAACACUUGGAUGAGAGA
rnacentral:rRNA from 1 species